rnacentral:rRNA from 1 species
CCUACGGGUGGCAGCAGUGGGGGAUAUUGCACAAUGGGGGAAACCCUGAUGCAGCGAUGCCGCGUGAAUGAAGACGGCCUUCGGGUUGUAAAGUUCUGUCGCAGGGGACGAAAAUGACGGUACCCUGCAAGAAAGCUCCGGCUAACUACGUGCCAGCAGCCGCGGUAAUACGUAGGGAGCAAGCGUUGUCCGGAAUUACUGGGUGUAAAGGGAGCGUAGGCGGGAGGAUAAGUUGAAUGUGAAAUCUAUGGGCUCAACCCAUAGCUGCGUGCAAAACUGUUCUUCGUGAGUGAAGGAGAGGGAGGCGGAAGUCCUAGGGGAGCGGGGAAAUGCGGAGAUAAUAGGAGGAACACCAGGGGCGAAGGCGGCCUGCUGGGCUUUUACUGACGCGGAGGCUCGAAAGCGUGGGUAGCAAACAGGAUUAGAUACCCGAGUAGUC